rnacentral:rRNA from 1 species
UCAACUUGAGAGUUUGAUCCUGGCUCAGGACGAACGCUGGCGGCAAGCUUAACACAUGCAAGUCGAGCGCCCCGCAAGGGGAGCGGCAGACGGGUGAGUAACGCGUGGGAACGUGCCUUUCGGUUCGGAACAACUGAGGGAAACUUCAGCUAAAACCGGAUACGCCCUUCGGGGGAAAGUUUACGCCGAAAGAUCGGCCCGCGUCAGAUUAGGUAGUUGGUGGGGUAAUGGCCUACCAAGCCGACGAUCUGUAGCUGUUCUGAGAGGAAGAUCAGCCACACUGGGACUGAGACACGGCCCAGACUCCUACGGGAGGCAGCAGUGGGGAAUAUUGGACAAUGGGCGCAAGCCUGAUCCAGCAAUGCCGCGUGGAUGAAGAAGGUCUUC